GGCGUAAGAAAUUCAAUGGUUUAGACUUGUGCGACGUCAAAUCAUAAUCCUUGUGUCGGGGGUUCAAAUCCCUUCUCCGCUACCA
rnacentral:tRNA from 2 species